GACUCCGAAGCGUGUCCGUGACGGACAAAAAAAGUAGGGCAGUUAAGGUUCCUCCAUUUCAUUUCCUCGGCGGGGCUGCCGCUUGGGCUGCUGCACCAGCCGUUGUCCCCUUUUGUCUCCCUAGAUUUGAAGGCAUUCUCCGUCGAGCUUGCCCUCUCCUUCAUCCUCCUCUCGUCACUACUUCUUGUCGCAGCAAACUUCUCGGAGUUGAUGUCGUGCAAGGAGUCAAAGCAAAACAAGUGUGAGUUGGGUGUUGAGAAAUAGGAUGGUACAUAACCUUCGAGAUCUUGUCACUCAAAUGUUCCUGCACUUCGUCACUCUCCGCCAGGCAAAUCGCAAUAUCUUGCUUGAGGAAGACAGAGUGAAAACCGAAACGGAGCGUGCCAAGGCUCCCGUGGAUUUCACAUCGCUGCAGCUUCACAACCUUAUGUACGAGAAAAGCCACUACGUGAAGGCAAUCAAGGCUUGCAAAGACUUCAAGUCCAAAUAUC